GGGUGAAUACAAAUAAUUAUUUGU
rnacentral:siRNA from 1 species